rnacentral:rRNA from 1 species
GGAUCAUUACACAACAAAAUAUGAAGGCCUGGCUUCGCGGCCGGCUGAAAUAUUUUCACCCAUGUCUUUUGCGCACUUGUUGUUUCCUGGGCGGGUUCGCCCGCCACCAGGACCAAACCAUAAACCUUUUUUUUAUGCAGUUGCAAAUCAGCGUCAGUAAACAAUGUAAUUAUUACAACUUUCAACAACGGAUCUCUUGGUUCUGGCAUCGAUGAAGAACGCAGCGAAAUGCGAUACGUAGGUGUGAAUUGCAGAAUUCAGUGAAUCAUCGAAUCUUUGAACGCACAUUGCGCCCUUUGGUAUUCCAAAGGGCAUGCCUGUUCGAGCGUCAUUUGUACCUUCAAGCUUUGCUUGGUGUUGGGCGUUUUGUCUCCCUCUUUCUGGGAGACUCGCCUUAAAACGAUUGGCAGCCGGCCUACUGGUUUCGGAGCGCAGCACAUAUUUCUGCGCUUUGUAUCAGGAGAAAAGGACGGUAAUCCAUCAAGACUCUACAUUUAACUUUUGACCUCGGAUCAGGUAGGGAUACCCGCUGAACUUAAGCAUAUCAAUAAGCGGAGAAA